rnacentral:rRNA from 1 species
GAUGAACGCUGGCGGCGUGCUUAACACAUGCAAGUCGAACGGGAAUUAUUUUAUUGAAACUUCGGUCGAUUUAAUUUAAUUCUAGUGGCGGACGGGUGAGUAACGCGUGGGUAACCUGCCUUAUACAGGGGGAUAACAGUCAGAAAUGGCUGCUAAUACCGCAUAAGCGCACAGAGCUGCAUGGCUCAGUGUGAAAAACUCCGGUGGUAUAAGAUGGACCCGCGUUGGAUUAGCUGGUUGGUGGGGUAACGGCCCACCAAGGCGACGAUCCAUAGCCGGCCUGAGAGGGUGAACGGCCACAUUGGGACUGAGACACGGCCCAGACUCCUACGGGAGGCAGCAGUGGGGAAUAUUGCACAAUGGGGGAAACCCUGAUGCAGCGACGCCGCGUGAAGGAAGAAGUAUCUCGGUAUGUAAACUUCUAUCAGCAGGGAAGAUAGUGACGGUACCUGACGAAGAGGCCCCGGCUAACUACGUG